rnacentral:rRNA from 1 species
GACGAACCGUGCGAACGUUGUUCGGAUUCACUGGGCUUAAAGGGCGCGUAGGCGGGUCAGCGAGUCGGGGGUGAAAUCCCACGGCCCAACCGUGGAAGAGCUUUCGAUACUGCUGGCCUUGAGGGAGGUAGGGGCGUGUGGAACUUCCGGUGGAGCGGUGAAAUGCGUAGAUAUGCGGAGGAACACCGAUGGCGAAGGCAAUCCCCUGGGCCUGCACUGACGCUCAUGCACGAAAGCGUGGGGAGCAAACAGG